rnacentral:rRNA from 1 species
AGUGAUAAAAUUCAACGGCCGCGGUCCCCUAACCGCGCGAGGGUUGCGUAAUCACUUGUUCUUUAAAUAAGGACUUGGAAUCAAUGGCACCGCGAGGGUCGGGCUGUCUCCUUUUUCUAAUCAGUGAAACUGAUCUCCCCGUGAAAAAGCGGGGAUAUAUAUUUAAGACGAGAAGACCCCAUGGAGCUUUAAACCUACAACAACUCAAUUACAAAAUUCUUCACAACCCUAGAGAAAUGUCCGUUGGUUUUAGGUUGGGGUGACCGCGGAGUAAAAACUAACCUCCACAACGCACAAAUCUAAAUUUUUAUUUAAGAGCCACAACUCUAAAAAUUAGCUCACUAACGCUUACUGAUCCGAUAAUCGAUUAAUGAACCAAGUUACCCUGGGGAUAACAGCGCAAUCUAUUUAAAGAGUUCAUAUCGACAAAUAGGCUUACAACCUCAAUGUUGGAUCAGGGAAUCCCAGUGGUGCAGCCGUUUCUGACGGUUCGUUUGUUCAACGAUUAAAACCCUACG